GCCUUGUGGGGCCCCGUGGAUAAGGAUUUCAUGUGAACAGCAGCCCUUGGUUUUGUUUAAGCCACAGGUCUGCCUGUGCCCAGGCUCGGCCCCUGCCCUGCCGGCUGAAGACAGGGAGAAAACAGCCACUGCGCGCACCAGCACACACCCCGGAGGGCCGCGGAGAGGAGGUGGUUCAAGCCGCACCGCAGACCCAAGGGCAAGGUGUUCACCCCAUUCUGCAGGCAUCUUAGAAGUAAAGAUACAGGAACCAAGACCACUAGCCCAUGAGUGCCUUUGUGUGUGUGUGAGGAAAAGCUUCCCUGCUGGGCGACAGAGCCAGGGCACGGGACUUACUGGACACAGCCAGGUCCUGCUGCAGAGUGAGCAACCUGCCCAACAGUACCGGGCAGCCCUGGUGGAGAAAAAAGACCGGAACAGUUGCUGGCAUUGUCCCAGGCACCAGGUACUGCUACAAACAGGACAGCUGGGCCCCUGCCCCGAUGGACUAAUGGACCAGCACAGGAUUCUGGACCAGAGACAUUAAACAACUUGCACAAGAACAGAACCGGCAAGGUUGAACCCAGGUCCUGCUGACCUCUGGUGCACAUGUCUAACCACUGCACUUCCGCCAGCCAAGGCCAGCUCUGGACAGACCUCAGGCUCCCUGCACUCACUGGGUGGUGGAGAACUCCUGGCUCCUCCCAGGAGUCAGGUAGGCCCUGCUUUGCAGGAAGGCCAGGCUCCUGCCAUAGUUGCAUCCCUCCCGGUACAACUGUGAAAAGAGCAUGAAUUCGGGGGAAUCACGAAUCUUCCCAAGGCUCCUGCCUUCAUAAACUGAGGAUAACAACUCUCACCCAAGGGUGAGUGUGAAAAUUAAACAAAGUUCAUUAUAGCAAAUAAGCUCAGUAUGGUUUCUGGUGUAUAGUAAAUGUUCAAUAAAUGCUGCUUGCACAGUGAACAACCUGCCCAACAGUAUCUGGCAGUCCCCUC